UGACCAGGAAAUCAGAAGCCUGUUUUUCCAGUGGCCCCACCCGCCCAGCUGCUAUGUCUCCCUUUUCAGCAGCUCCAUACUAUGAUGGAGAUGUUUUCUUACCCAACACCUUCAAUGUUGUGAUGCUCCUGCAGCCAGAAGGGGGGGAAAAGUCACCCGCCCUGCCUGGCUUGUUUCCCAUUCAUAAUCUGAGCUACAGAUUUCUCUGGUGUGCGUUAUGAAGAAAAUCCCGGGGCAGGUAUGCUCUCCUCAUCCCAGCCUUCCACCUCCAUUACUGAGGUGAAAAGACCUCCCACUUCAUUUUGGAGCUCAGUUUUGUGGGUUUUCUCUCUGUGUUCAAACACACUUUGGAGUGUAGACAUGCCAAUGUCCCUGGAUUAGAACCAUCCAGACGUGCUAAGACUAAAAGAUUUUUAGAACUCCCAACCACUUUUCCCUCAGAAUGUUCGGAGCUGUCCCAAGAUGGACAGAUAGCAUGAUAGAAAGUGAUUGACAAUCAAUUCCUAGCUGGACAACUUAUUGUACAUCAUACAUAAAUUGUGUAUGGAUCUCAUUUCUACUAGAAAUAGUGGCCAUCGGAUCUGAUUUACAAAAAUCUGGAGAGACCACUAGAUGACAGCUUGUUUCUCCAAAUCAUGAGAUCUGGAAUUUUGGAGCCUGAAUCUUGGUUACCUUGAUUUUCAAGUUUUAUAAAGAGAAAUUAUCAAAAGACCAAUGGGAGGAUGAAGUUAUCAGUGGCUGUUAACCAAGAUAUCAAAAAAGAACAUCUGGUUGUAGAGAUAGGACUGUCCUGCUCCAGGGCUUGCUUCUAGUCCAACUGCUGUGAGGGCAUCAUAGAUGAUCACCUCACCCUCAGAGGAUGUGAUGACCACAGGCAGCAGGGCUACACCCCUGAGAGCACCAAACUGGUUGAACAGCAAAGGUUGCAACAUCCUUUGGAAACAGAGGGGAAGAAACUACAGGCAAGUUUCAAUACACCAUGACAUCUCUUCUCUCACAAAUAUCUUUAGGGUGAUAAUCAGAGUCUUUGUAAGAAUCUUUUGUGGGAAUUAACUUCAACUUUAAUGAAGUGCAAGAGUCACUGGAGAUUUUUAAGAAGGGAUUGGUCAACCAUUUGUCUGAAAUAGAAAAAGGUUUCCUCCUUGAGCAGGGGGUUGAACUAGAAGACUUCCAAAGUCCCUUCCAACUCUAUUAUUCUGUAUUUCCAAACAGAUUUCACAAAAGGAACAUAGUCAUGGUGUCAAUGCUUGUGAGUAGUACAAACAAGGUGAAAUGAACAGAUUUCUCAACAGCAUGCAUGGAAAGUUUCAGCAAGAACUGAUCAAGCCGAUAUAACAUUGCUGUUCUUUUGUCAACAUGUGCUUCCGGCAUUUUGUCUUGGGAAAAGGUGUGGAGACUAAACUAAAAGGAUCCCAUGAUGUAGCCAUCUGUAAAACCCUCUGCCUUUUUUUUUACAUGCUGUAUGUCAUGCAUAUAACACACAUAAAACAAGUGGGGCUUUGAUCGUGUUGUCAUGGUCAUCCUCUUGACUUUUU